AGAUAGAGAGUCCGUUAAGGCCGUAGUCUGUUGUGCAUUGUAAUUUGUGCUGAAUACAGCUGGUGGCUGUUUGCUUUGUGUCAGAUCACCUGUAUAUAUUUGCCACGUAGUGUUUCGUGUCACCGCUUAGACGUACUGUGUCUCUGUGAUGUGUCACUGUAUUAUGGGGGCCGAGCAUGCACAGCCUAAUCUGAUCCUCAUCUUUUUCCGGUCUUUUCGUCGGUCUGAAUCCUACAAUUUCAGUCUUUGUUGUUUUCUCUAUGUUUACAUGCUUAUCUUAAUCAGUUUUUUUAUUUAUUUGUACAUUGGCACUGCUUGCAGGUUUAUGACGAAGGCACUAAAAUGAGAUUACAAGCAAGCAGGGUGAUGAUUGGGAAGAUAAAUAGCUAGCUUUCGACUCAUUUGGGAGCAGUAAUUCGAUCAAGGAUUGGCUGCUGGGGACGAUAAGAAGGUAGAAUUACUGGUUAUUUCGAUCGUAUCAUACUCAAACAUCCGUAUAAUUCCAAAAAGCAUAACAAUCGCAAUAGAGAAAUUCUUGGAAGCAAUUUGGGGACCAUUUGGGUGUCAAAUUAAUUAUCAAUGACAAAUAGACAAGGAGGUUCUCAUCAAUCAAUGAAUUGAAUGCCAAAACAAAUUUGAUUAACAUACAUGGGAUGGGAGCUAGAUCGAAGUGAGCCCUAAUAAAAUGAGGAAUAUCUGUAUGGAUCCCAUUCCCAUAAUAUAUUAUAUAUGUACGACAGCUGGUAAUUAAUGGUAUUGGUG